CGGGGUGUAGCUUAGCUUGGUAGAGCGCCUGCUUUGGGAGCAGGAGGCCGCUGGUUCAAAUCCAGUCACCCCGA
rnacentral:tRNA from 2 species